AGGAGGUGCAGGACAAAGAGUGAGGGAAGGUGGUGCAGGACAAAGAGUGAGGGAAGGUGGUGCAGGACAAAGAGAGAGGGAAGGCGGUGCAGGACAAAGAGUGAGGGAAGGCGGUGCAGGACAAAGAGAGAGGGAAGGCGGUGCAGGACAAAGAGUGAGGGAAGGCGGUGCAGGACAAAGAGAGAGGGAAGGCGGUGCAGGACAAAGAGAGAGGGAAGGUGGUGCAGGACAAAGAGAGAUGGAAGAUGGUGCAGGACAAAGAGAGAUGGAAGAUGGUGCAGGACAAAGAGAGAGGGAAGGCGGUGCAGGACAAAGAGAGAGGGAAGGCGGUGCAGGACAAAGAGAGAGGGAAGGCGGUGCAGGACAAAGAGAGAGGGAAGAUGGUGCAGGACCAAGAGUGAGGGAAGAUGGUGCAGGUGUGCUAUAGAAAGUAUACCGUUCACAAGUCGAAGCAGCUACAGUCGAAUAAUCUUAACGUUUCGAUCCCCCUCAAAUG
ensembl:lncRNA